CAGCCGCCGCGGUAAUACGUAGGUGGCAAGCGUUGUCCGGAAUUAUUGGGCGUAAAGGGCUCGCAGGCGGUUUCUUAAGUCUAAUGUGAAAGCCCCCGGCUCAACCGGGGAGGGUCAUUGGAAACUGGGAAACUUGAGUGCAGAAGAGGAGAGUGGAAUUCCACGUGUAGCGGUGAAAUGCGUAGAGAUGUGGAGGAACGCCAGUGGCGAAGGCGACUCUCUGGUCUGUAACUGACGCUGAGGAGCGAAAGCGUGGGGAGCGAACAGGAUUAGAUACCCGCGUAGUCCCUGUCUCUUAUAC
rnacentral:rRNA from 1 species